UUUUGGCCUCGCCUCCCCUGCUUGCUCUCCCUCCUGACCUGUGCCCCACCACCGAGAACCCGACCCUCUCUCCAAUUCUGUCUCUCUGUCUGCACAAACUUCUGUCUGCUCCUGCACAGGGUUGUUAAACACCUCCCUGCUACCUGCAGAUCUCUGCCAGGGAGCUUUUCUGCCUGCACUUACAGCACUUCUGCCAUGUCCUGGGAUGGGUUCAUGGAGCAGGGCUCCUCUGCAGCUCCUUGCCUCUCCCUCCCACCUUUCCAUCCUUCUGCUGCUUCGCCUGCUCCCGAUAGCUCCCGAAGACACGGGUCACAGCCUGGGCGCCUCGUCUGUGUUGGCUGUCACAGCACGCCCGGAGUUACACCCAUGGUAGCAAUGGCAGGGAAGUUCAGAUGGGGGAUGCACAACAGCCCAGUAAUUAUUCUUCUCUUCUUGUUUGUGAUUGCAGGACCAGCUGCAACAACGUUGUCAGUGACUGCAGGCACGAGUCAAACUAACCCUCCUGGCAACAGCACACAACCACUCUUAUGGAGCUUCACCCUUUGGACCCUCCUAGGAUUCUUCAUCAAUAAGGUGCUGGUAAUGUUGCUCCUCGUUUUUCUUCUGAGAAGGGGAAGCUGCAGAAAAGAGAAACGCAGGACAGCAGAAGGCAGCCCUGGAUAGAUGCCUGAGGAGGAAAGGAGAUGACGCUAGACCUGGGACCAAAAGGAUCUCUGUUUUUAAGCUUGGAGACAUGUCCAGAGAGAAAUCCCAAACUGCAAGCUGUUGCCCUUGAGCUUCAGAGAACCCAGGCCGGCCUCCCACAGUAACCGAGGCCCGCUUUCCUCGCAGGCUCCCACCACGGCAACUCUUGGGGCUCAUCAGGGCAGAAAGCAGCCCACGCCUGGCAAACCCUGCCACGCGGUGCAGGCUGGGCUCUGCCACCAGCCCG
rnacentral:lncRNA from 1 species